rnacentral:lncRNA from 1 species
UCCAAAACUCUCUUAUUUGAGUUCAAAAUUCUUCAAACAAGCUCUAGUGUCCACACCCAGUUUCAAGUUUAUAAAAUAUUGUAGAAAAAUACAAAUAAUGCUUGUAAAACUUGUAUUAGAUCAACAGAUUUCAUUUAAAUGCAAAAUUCUAAGACUCAAACAAGUUGGCAGGUUCGCUGUUCAAUUGCUUCUCAAAACUCAGAACUUCGGCAACACCUUGAGCACUAAAUUCAGCAACAGUAGGCACAGAAAUUUUCAGCUCAGAAUGACGACCUCAACUGUAGAAAUAAUGCAUUAGAAUCACAGCAAUAUUGAGUCAGAAUAACCACAGAGUACAUCUGAAUAGUGCAGGAUCUGCUUUCAAAAAAGAACAGCUUAAAACUUAUAUUUCAACAGUGUAUUGUUGGCAUAUAAACUGAAGCAAUGCAGUUGAGUCAACUGAAGCUAAAACUUUUGCAAAACUCCCCCAACUGUUAAGAAAAACUAUAGUAACAACAAUCAAUUAAAUAAAUGUGGAAAUCUUCAUUGUUGAGCGAAAAAUGAACAAUGCAGGGCUGUGAAAAAUCAACUGUUAAGAAAAACUAUAGUAACACAAUCACUUAAAUAAAUGUUGAAAUCUUCAUUGUUGAGCGAAAAAUGAACAAUGCAGGGCUGUGGACAGCAAGUACGAAACCCUUUACAGCAACAGAAAACAAGCAGUAAAUUAUUUUCCAGCAAACAUGCAACUUCUGUCAACAGAUUCUAACCAAAUGGACAAUAGUUUAUGUAACAAGGGAACUCAAUUCAACAAGGAGAACAUUUUAGAAAUAAAACCCAAAUUUCAAACUAUCACUGCUAAACUCGAGCACAAUCUCAACUAACAUAAAUUUCCGACAAAUUUCGUUUACUGUAUGUUCAACCAAAUCACAGUUCAAGCAUGCUUAAUCUCUAGUCCCACUGAAUCCACUCUAUUAAACUCAACAAUAAUAACAACUAUUAGAAACCAGUGGUAACAAGUUCAAACUAGGAGAAUUUCAGCUAUCAAUUUACUCCAAAACUUCACAAAUAGUGGCAAAAUUUCAACAAACAAGCUUCAAAUCUUCGCAGUCAUACUGUCAUAGCACAAAGUGUACAAUGCAUGAUUUACUUUCAAUCAUGGCCCCACCAACAAUUUGUAGAUUGAGAUAAAAUCACAAAAAUGCUCCAAAAAAUAAAGACUGAUCUCAAUAGAACUUUCGUCAGCAUAAAAGAAGUUUGACAAGAGAAUUCCAACUUGAACUCUAAAAUUUCAAUAGUAGAGUCCAUUGACACAACUCAAUUCACACAAUUCUCAACAAGCAGCUUCUGAAUUCGAAAACUAAUCUAUGUGGCUAAAAGUGGCUAGAAGUGUAAAUUUUGGCUAUGACCCCGCAAAGCCAAGAACCUAAGAUUUACUAGGAAGACCGGACCCUAUGCGGGUUGUCUACGUAUCAUGCCCCGAAAGACGAGAAUCAGGUUUGCAUAGUUCGAAAAAAUUGGAUACAUACAAGAAUAAAAAGAACAACUAAUUUUUAAAGAACACAUUUUCUUUUGUUUUUUUUUUAAAAAAAAUGAAACAUGUAAACUCUUUUUGGAAUUUUUUUCUUUUUUUUUUUGAUUUUCAGGAAAUAAUAAAAAGUGCAAUAUUGUUUUUGAAUUUUUCACAUAUCCUUUGUCUCUUUUUUUUAACAAAAAUAUAACAAAAACAUAACUAAAUCCUAAUUGCUUUAUUUUCACACUUCACCCACUUUUCUUUUCAUUUAUUUUUUUUUUCAUUUACCCUCAGCUAUCAUUGGUCCGCCAAGUGACCCUUUCACCCUUGAAAAAAUACAAUAUGUGGCAUAUAAAAUGCAUCAGGAUGGUCUUUUAAAUUGGGUACACCUGUCCUAGACGGACUCAACUCCUGUAUUGAGUCCCCUAAGUCAAAUGCAUGAUGCAGAUAAGCGUUCCUACAAUGGAUCCGGUAUGAGGUUUUGUUAUUCUACAUUCAAAACCUGGGUAUAUGUUCUAGACGGCACCCGAGCAGACAACUCGGGUCGAGUUGGGGGCUACGUACCGGAACCAAAAGGCCAUCCGGCUUUGUAACUUGUCCGAGCCUCUUUCUUAUUUUCAGGUAUAACACUAACAGAAUAGGGACUCUCAACCAGCAAGCACAUCCCCCGAGGUGAGAAGAGAAGAGUUUCGCGGCAAUUAAUAUACAGUCCAAAUAAUAUAAAAGCGGUAAAGACAACUUUUAGCACAUCAUGCAAUAAAAUCAUAUAAACAAAGCCAAAUACAGCAAUUAUUUAAAGCUCGAAUUCUUGAACCCUCAACCAGAGAUAAAUAUCCUCCCCAACAGAGAUGCCAGAACUGUCACACCUUCUUUUGGCCACUACAACAUGGCGAAAGGCGUAGAUAAGGGACUUUUUCUAAUUAAAGGACAAUUGAAACGGGAUUUAAUUAUUUAAAAGAAUUCAGAGUCACCACUUGGGGAGAUUUAUAGUGUCCCAAGUCACCGUUUAGAAUCCCGAAUCGAGGAAAGAAUGACUCUAUUUAACAGUCCAUGAACCAGAAAUCGGGUAAGGAAUUCUCUUAGCCUAGGAGAAGGUGUCAGGCAUUCCCAGAUUCCGUGGUUCUAGCACAGUCGCUCAACUGCUAUAUUUGGCUUGAAUUAUCUGUUUUUAUACAAUUAUGAACCUAUGUGCAUUUUAAAUCUUUUAACCACUUUUAUUAAUAUCAUUUUUAGAGAGAAUUGCAACGUCGUUAAAACUUGUCUCGAGUCACGCCACAUAAAUGCACCCGUAAUUCUUAACACAUUUCAACUUCGUCGGGAUUUGGAUUUUGGUCACAUAAAUGUGCACCCAAAUUUAGGAAAGUAAUGUUAUUAAGCACGCACCUAGAGCAGCUACGCAUUAUUAACUUUGCGAGUGCCAUGGAAUUUGCUAAAUGACACGCCUCAAAAUCUAAGGAUAAACAUUAUUAAUUCAAAUGAGGGCCAUGCAUUUGAGAUUUUUGUUCGGUACGGCACACCUCAAUUUAUUUUGAAAACCACAACUAUUAUUUUUUCUAAAUUUGAUAUUAUCACGAAGAGUUAUGGAGAUUAAUUGUGACAUACGGGUAAGCCUCAAACUGAUUUAAUCGUAAUUAAAAAUUUUCCAAAAUCUAACAAAUCACAGUCACGUCACAAUGAAUAAACUAAAACAAUUGCUAACUAACACUCAAAAUGACGCCACUUAAUAUUACUAAAGAAAAAAAUACAAAGAUACUACAUGAAACACCUUUCAUCAAACAAACUUUCCAUGAAAUAGUUGGCAAUUAACUCUAUGUGUAUGCUUAAUCGGUUAAUUCAAAUCGGAUAUCAAAAAAUUCGAAACGCACAACAUCACACUUUCAACAAAGAAAUGGUGAAGUAGCUUCAACUGGGCUCCAACCAUGUGACAGAAUAUUUAACAAAACAGUAUGGUCCAAUAAUUGGCCCAGAUCCACGAAAAUCGCGCGAUUACCAGAAUUAUAUUCUACUCAUCUCAGCUUGAAUGUAUUAAACAGAUAUUAACAUUUAGAGCUGAAAUCGAAAUAACGAACGGACCUCAAAUGGAGACAAUCUGAACAAAGACGACAACAAAUCGGACGCGAAACCACGAACCUCGUCCUCGAGCAACACAGCUGAACCAAGCUACACCAACAAAGCUUCACACAAAAUCCAUGAAUGAAAAUCAAAACCAGAAACUGUUAUUUUUGACUCUCUGUAUGUGUGUGUGCGACUGAAAAUUGGUAGGAAGAGGAAGGUCCAAUGGUGUGUUUACUGUCGAUUUCCCAACCCCUGCUAUUUUGUUUCGCUUCAGUCCAGAAGAGAGGUGAGAGCUCGUCGUGGGUGUAUGUUGUUGCGGUGUGACUCGUUUUCCGGCGAGGGUGUAUGUGUGUGUUUGUUGGAUUCCGGUGAGCUGGGAGGUUAAUGGAGGAGAGGACACUGAAGAGAGGGGUGGGUCGUUUGGAGAAGAUGGGAGAACCGCUGGAGAAGACGACACCAGGGGGGUCCGUCCUUUGUUUGUCCUCUGCGCAACCGCGCCUCUUCCAGGCGUGUAUUGUAUCGUGUAUAGGUGUAUGUUUGUAAUGUGUAUUAGGUAUUUAGGUGGGGAAAUGGGUUUAGUUGUUUGGUCGGAUCGGGUCGACCCGGUUUGGG